AAUAUUUAGAGUUAAAUGUAUUUUUAAUUCCUCAAUUAUUAAACAAUUUUAUUUUUUAUUAUUUUUUAAAUUUUGGUAUACUUUGAUUCUUGUCAUUAAGGAAACUAUAAUUUUUCGUCCUCCAUAAUCAACGUUGUUAAAAUUAGGCUGAGUUGACUAACGGAUUGCCACACCAUUUUUUCUUUUUCUGACAGUAAGUCAAUCUUUCUCGGCUUCUCUCCCUCCUUCUCCCUUCAUCUCCUUCCUUGCGUCUUUGGUUGGGGUCUCCAUCGCUUGGGUUAAGAACUUUGGCAAGCAGUAUCAGGAGGUGAACGCCUGAUACGUUGCGCAAGGACCCCACCGUAUCCACCAAGAUCGAUGAUCUCUGCGAGGCAAUUGAUCUAUAUAUCCUGCAUGAAUCAAUAAUGAACUAAGGAAAAAAAAACAAGACAAAGAAAACAAACAAAAUAAUUGUCCAAAUACUAGUACUAUUCAAUCCUAAAUACCAAUCAAAAGGAAUUAGGGAAUGUAAUCACCUUCUACUUCAGGUUUUGAAGAAAGCAAAAGUCAACUUCUGACAAGUUUUUUGAGCAAGUCAUCAUUUUUAAGAUCAAGUGAAGCAAGGGUCCUGUCUAGCCUCUCCCUAUAAUGCACAAUCUUCCUUUUCUUCUCCAUCUUUACAUCUCCUGUUAAUAACCUUUCUAUCAAAAAGUCAAUUCACGAGCACAGACAUACAAAUGAUUUCUUCUCUUCUCUAUUUACUCCAACAGAAAAUCACUGUGGUACAACAAGAUAAGCCAAUCGGGUAUAAAAACUCUCAUCUCAUCAUGUAACAAACACAAAAAAAUUGCACGCGUAAUUAGGCAGAACUCUUGAAAGGUUUCUUUCUAAUAGCCAAAGAAAUGAAACUUCCUGCUAAAUUUACUCCUAUAUGUCGUUGAUCAAUUCCAUUUGAACCGCGCACACGAAAAAAUAAUUCCAAGAAGGAGCAAAAUAGCUAAAUACAUGAAUUCAUAUCCUAGACUCACGCAAACAAUCAAAUGAAACUACAUGACAAAAAGAAUUUGAAGUCAACGAAAUCAACAAACCAAAAUCAAAUUCCAAGACUGAAGUCCACAAGGGUCAAUCAAAAAUUGAAAGAAGCCCAAAUAAGGAAAAAAGCUAACAAAGCAUAAAGGUAGAGAAAUCAAAACGCCCCACAAGCCAUGAGAAGCAACAACUUAAAAAGAUGAGAACUUUAUUGAGAAUAUCAAAAAAUAGAAAGACAUGAUUUAUGAACCUUGGCUUUGGGAGUGGUGGCUUUCAAUGUUGAUAACUUGUGAAGAAUGCAGAAACAGAAAAAAGAUGCAUGAAACAUUUACUUUCUUCUUUAAUCAUGAAAAAUUUACUUCCAGAUUCUUCAUCCAAUCUUGAAUUAUAGACAAUAAUUCUCUUUUGUUUAGGUUUAACUGUGAAAUUGAAAUUGAUGAUUGCGGUGAGAAGGAAGACAUUGCACAAUGUGGAGCUUUUUGAAAAUUGUGGAUUUAGGGUUCUGUGAUUUAGGUGUUCCUGGGUUUUGAUUUAAGUCUCUAUGGUGGUGGAAGAUGAAUUGAUGCACGAUGAAAUUUUUGGACUUCGAUUUGGCUUCGUGAUGGUGGUUUGGGUUUGCAGGUUUGCUUCGCCAUGGCAGCGUGAAGGUCCUGCGGCGGUGAAGAUGAAAACGAUGAUGGUGGAAGGUGGUGGUUUAACGAUGUUAUGGUGGUGGUGGUUUAACGAUGUUAUGAAUGAGAGUUUUUAAGUGUACAACACUACUAUCAAACGUGGCAAACAAUGGAUAAAUAAGUUAACAUCAUACACAAUACACUGCUAGCAACAUCAGAUUAAAUUUAAUAUUGUUAGUUUUCGAAAACUAAAAAUUAAAAUUUCUUAAAAUCAAAGAACAAAGUAUACUAAAAUUUAAAAGAAGAACAAAAACUAAAAUUGCUUAAUAGUUGAAAAACUAAAAAUAUAUUUAAAUUAUAUAUUUAUAAUAAAAACACAUAUGCUUAAAUGAAUGUGUAAGAUCCAAAAGAAAAGAAAAGGAAAAGAAUAAAAUAAAAUGAAAGAAUAAUAGUUGUGGUUGAGUUAUAUGUGUAGAAAUCUGAUUUGAAAGGCAUGCAUUAAAUAAAUAUUAGUUAUAGAGGAAUUAUCAAUAAAUUCUGGUUGGUGUAAUGGCAUAGCACAAAGGCCUUGUGAGUUUUGUUUUAUUUUAAUCUUUUUAGUGGGUGGGACCCACUAUUAUUGUUAGAAGUGUGAAGAUAACUUCUACUUUCAACUAUUUAAGACACAAAAUAGUAUACAAUCUGUAGAGGUUAUGAUAAAAUUGUUGGAUGAAGUGAAGUAAAAAUAAUAAAAACUAUGAUAUAUUAAUAAUUUUUUUUAACAAUUUUUUGAUAAUUAUAUGUGUUACUAUUUUACUAUUUUAUUUAUUUAUAUAUUUAAAACGAAUUAAUUAUGAGUUAUUAUAUAAUUGUAAAAAAUUAUAAAAAAAACAUUUUCCAAAUAAUAAUUAUGUAUUUUGUAAAAAUAUAUUUGAAAAAUACUUGUUACGAACUUCAUUAACUUUGAAGUUUUCAAUAACAAUAUAAUCUAAUAAUUAAAGUGAACUAGUUAAUAAUUUGGGUUGAACAUAAUUAACUUAAUUAUAAAUAAACUAUAAAUUAUUUAUACUAUUUUGUAUUAUAAAAAUUAAAUUAUUUUUAUAAAAGCUGAAUUAUACUUUUUUACUUCAGUUUAAAAAAUUAAACUUCUUUUAUUAACAGUUAAUUAAUUAUUUUAUGUUUUACUUUUGUUUGAAACUUUUCCUUAUUUAUUUACCUCGUUUUUUUAAAUUUUUUUUCACCAACACAUAAGAAAGUAGGAAAUAAGACACGUAUCCUUAAUAUCUUUCAGGUUAUAUAUAUAUAAAGACGAAAAUUUGUUGUGUGCUUUUGUCAAUGCUUGUUCUUUUUCUUUAAGCUUCUCUCCUUUAUUAUCUAAUUUUUUGUUAUCAGUCACUUACUUUUCAAAGAUACCCUAUCACUCAAAUUAAUAUUCUUAAUUAGUCUUUUAUCUUAAUAUCCGUCUAACAAUUGUUCAAUUACCUUUGAAGCUUGUUUAGCAUGAUAAUCUCAUAAUUAAUUACUAAAUUUGUCUUUCUUUGCAAUCGAUUGUUCAUGAGACUUUAACCGAGACAACAUAAGACUAACCAAAUCAAUCCAUAUGACUUUCUCAUCUUAUAUCUCACGUCACAAUAAAUAUAUAUACACAAAAUCUAAUUUAGUAUAUAUUAUUCGUAUAUUUUGUUUUACAUUUAGUUAUAUUUGAAAAUUAAAAUAAAUAUAAACUACUCAAACGUUAAAAGUAAUUAUAUAAUGCACAUUACAAACUAUGCAUGACUAACUAUCACUAUUUUUUUCAUUUUAAAAAAGUUACAGAGAUUUAGAAGUAACUAUUUCACAGAAAUUAUUUACAACUUAUUUCUAAAUGACUUAAAAUUAUAUUUUAAUAUUUCAUCUUAAUAUUUUUAUGUUAUUUUUUAUUCUUUUAAUAUUAUAUUUGAGGGAUUUAAUAAUAAAAAUUAAAAUAAAUUUUAAUCUCUGAAUUAAUUAAAAAAUUAUGAUUAAAAAUAUGCGUAUUAUGUGUCGUGUCGUGUGUGUGGUACAUAAUAUAUAAUAUAUAAUUUUCUAUUAUCUGUGUAAGCGUAUAAUAAUAAAUCAUUUUUUACUUAAUCAUGCUUUAAGUUUUAAUAAAUUUAGGAUUUUUUAAUUAACUCUCUAAUAAAAUUAUAGUGAUUAUUCAGUAAAUUUAUAUUUUCCAAUAAUAAUGUAGUUUUCGCUGUUAAUUUUUGUUUGUUAAUUAAAUGGUACUCUUAAGUGAUUAGUAUAGUUGUUAUCUUACCACGUCAUGUUGGAUUCUUCUUAUGUUAUUUUAUGAUUUUAAAAUUUUAAAAUUUAUGAUUUUAAUUGUUUUUGCUUAAUAUCUUCGUAAUAGGUAAUUUUUUAUAAUGACAGAUAUAUCAUUUGAAAAUGACCAAAAUGUGAGUUUAUUUACUAAAAAUGUAUGACGUGUUGACUGUAUAAAUGAUUCCAAAUCCAGUUAAAAACUAAACCUUUUAUGACAGAAUAAAAUAGUAUUAAGUUUAAUUUGUUUUCUACUCUUCUUAAUAUAGAAGAAAAAGAAUGGUAAAAUAAUUUUCAUUAUAUUUCAUCGAUUUAAACAAAAAAUAAUACAUAUUUUAUUAUUACUCAUCUAGAUGUAACAUGGUUUGGAGUGCGAGUCCAGCAACAGACGCGGCCCACAGAAAAGUAUAAUAUCAACAAUAAUUACAUAUAUAUUUUCAUUAUCAACAAAAAUUACGUAUAUAAUGAAUGCAAUUAUUAGCAAUGUUUUUCACAAUCAUUUAGCUUUUCUAUAUUAAUUUAUAAAAGUUUUAAUUUACAUAAAAACUAAAUUUUAUUUUUUUAUUCUUCCUCUUAAAAUUAUAGAUAGAGAAACUUUUUAAAGUACAGACCGUAACCACUACGUUGCAUCCAAGUUGCAACUCAGAGCUGGAACUUUGUCGGUGACAACCUAAGUACUUUUCUUCUUCUUACACGUGCUAAACACCAUUUUGUUUUCAAGUUUAAGACAAAAUUUAAGAUUAAGAAAAAGCCAUUUUCAUUAACCAAUUAUAAUUUAUUUGGUUACUUUUCUUUCCUCAUGACUUGCUUUAACAGGAAUAAUAGGUAAGUUAUGAAUAAAUGUUCAUCCUUUUUUGCAUAUGAAACUUUGUUUUCAUGAUUAAGUGACAACCCAAUCUAACACAACAUCUUGAGACAUGUCAAGAUCUCACCAUAAACAAGGAUAAUAAUAUUUCAAUAAUUUCUUUUUAAAAGUUUUUUUUUAUAAUGUGUCACUAUUUUAUUGUUUUGUUUGAACUUAUUCUAAAAAAAUAUUUGAAACAGACUAAUUAUAAAUUGUCACGUAUGUAUUGUAAAAAAAUUGUCAAAAAAAUUGUUAAAGAGAUAUUUUAUUUAGUAUAAUGUGCUGUAUUAUUUUAAUUAUAUGAUGUUUUGUUUUUGUUUAGGGAGUGCAUACACAUUCCCUAUUGUUUUGCCGACAGCAUGCUUUUAAUAAUCUCAUCGUUCUAAUAAAACUACAAUAGUUAGGAUCGUUGCAAAACUUGCUUCCUCAUCAACCUCUAUUUUAAUCAAAUUAUCGUCUUCAACAUUUGCUUUAAGAAACUUUCAGAUCUCAGAUUUCAUUUUUCAUUUUUUUUUCCAAUAAAAUUUGAAAAAAUAAAUUUUUGUUGUAUAUUUUAUUUUUUUGAAGAAGGAAGAUAAAAGUAGUGUUUACCAUUCCUACAGAUCUGGGUUGAAGAAGCAUUGACAAGUUAAUAAUAAUAAGUGACUUCCUAAUUUUCCCUCCAAUCAACAAUCUCAUAAAAGACGAAAUUCCGAUCUUGCCCUCGCUUCUAGCCGAAGCAGUGACGUGGCGACAUCAGUGAGGAGAAUGAAGUAAUAACCGUACCAGGAGUAACCGGAGAAAAAGCUUCACCUCGUUCUUCACCCCCUUAUUAUAUUACUCUCUCUGCUCUCAACGAACAUAACAAUACGAAUUCGAAAGACCUCACACAGAUCUAUCGUUCUCUUCUUUUUCUCUCUGUCGUUUCGAUCUCAAACGCUAUGGCGUUUUGGAGGUCCUUGACGUUCUCCGCGAUUCUUCUUCCACUCUUCAUCCAUGGCGCACUCUGCUUCUACCUCCCUGGCGUUGCUCCACAGGACUUCCAGAAGGUUCACUCCAUUUGCAUUUCCAUUUCCAUCUCACAUUACGCGCACUGGUUCAUUUUUCCAAAUUUAUCGUUUAUUCGCUUCAUAACCGCUUGAUCUGCGUUUGAAUCUGAGAUCUGAGAUGAAUAUGGCCGAUGUUAUAUUCGAUUUACAUUGUUUCUUAUUUUUCUUUUUAUUUAGGCUGUGAUUUUCGGUUUUUCGCUGCAUUUUCUAAGUGAUAGUUUGGCGACAUUGUGGUGUUAGUGUACAAGGCCUUUUGUAUGUGGAAGUGUUGUUGUUGAUAUUGUGUGUGUUAAUUUAACUUCGAUCUGGUGUCGGUGAAAUGGUUUAGUUGCUUCGGUGCGGUGUGUGUGACGCAUUUUGAUGAUUUGAUCCGUUCUAGUCUCUGUGAUAAUGUUAGACUCUGUUGUUGAAAUGGUGUUGUCAGUUGAUGGAAUUUAAGCUCAGCUUGUAAUGUAAUAAGCAUGGAGACUUCUAAAUGCUAGCAGUGUUGGAUACGUGCUCAUGUUAAUUCUUAGAUACUCAAUGGAAGCUUCAAUAACUAAAUGUGUUUUAGCAUUCUAUUAUAUUAUGUCUACAGUGACCUUUACUCAUUUUUGAAACAUGAAUUCUUCACUGUGAUUUAAAUUUUUAAUUUUAUUUUAGUUUUAAGAUUAAAUUUACGAGUGUAUUAUCUCAUGGUUUUUGGAAUUUGUCUUAUCUCUAGCCCUUGCCCCAAUAUUGUUUUCAAUUUUCCAAUGUCGUGUCCAUGCUCCCUAACAUGUAUCUAGAAGUAGCCUGUUUGAAGUGCAGGCAUGGAGUGUGUGAAGAUUUUGGAUAUAGGUCUGGUAGUGUGUUUACUAUUUACGUUGUUUCAUCGGUGAGUUUUACUGAUUUCUCUACUUUCAUGGAUUGAUUAAAGAAGUAAAGGGUCAAGUGGGACUUUGAGAAGAGCUUAAUAUUGUUUUACUUGAAACAAAUUUUGACUGAUAGAUUAACUCCUCACACUCACCACACACACACACACACAGAGUUUGUGGUACUUGUUUUGUGUUGUUUUGAUAUGGAGAAUAGAAUCAAAUUUUGUUUUCUGAGUAUUGUUUCACAAAUUCAUGAAAAAAGUAUUCUAUGUACAGCCCGGCUAAUUUGUCCAAGGCUGAUAGGUAGCUGUGUCUUGGGAUUGUAAAUGUGACCUUUUGGUUCCCUAGAAGAUAAAUAUUUAGAUUUUCAUAUGCCUCUACUCAACAACCACUUGUGGCCUACUAUUGUGAAUGUGCUAAUGAUGUACUUUGUUCUUUCACUUUGUUGAUUCUGGUUAUAUUUCUUUUCUAUUUGUUUCUUUAUGGACAAUCGCACAUUUAAACUUAAUAAUUAUUCUUCUUUGGGUGGUUUUUGUUGUCCCCUGUUUUCUUUUAACAUAUAACAACCCAUCAAAUGAAUUGGGUGCACACAAUUAUUAUGUAAUUAAGCUUUCGGUCUUCCUGGUUUUUCUUGUUAGUAUUGUUUUCUACCCUUGUAUUCUUGCUGUCCAGUUUUGACUUUUAAAUUAAUAAUAACGGAUAUCCAGAAAUGCAUGGAUAGAUAUAUUUAUUUAUUGACUAUCUAUUCAUACGGUGCAGGGAGAUCCAUUGCAAGUAAAAGUAAACAAAUUAACUUCAACGAAGACUCAGCUUCCAUAUACAUACUAUUCUCUUCCGUAUUGUGCACCAGAGAAAAUAUUGGAUAGCGCUGAAAAUCUUGGAGAAGUGCUUCGUGGUGAUCGCAUUGAAAAUUCUCGAUAUGUGGUAUGUUUCAUAUGGCAUUUUUAAUUCUUGCAUGGCUAAUUAUGUUAUGGUUAUCAACUUAGUUACUGGGUGACAUAUUUGCAGUUUAAGAUGCGUGAACCACAAAUGUGCAAUAUUGUGUGUAAGCUUAAGCUUGAUGCCAAAACUGCAAAAGAGUUCAAAGAGAAGAUUGAUGAUGAGUAUCGAGUGAACAUGUAUGGCGUUCAAUAACUUUCAUAUGUUUUCAUUCCACAUCUCUGCCACAAUGUUGACAUCUUGUUACCUGCCUUUUACUUGCAGGAUCCUAGAUAACCUUCCUCUAGUUGUUCCCAUAAAACGGGUGGAACCGGACUCUACUGUAUAUCAACUUGGUUUCCAUGUUGGACUCAAAGGGCAGUAUACUGGGGUAUGCUCUGCAUCUUUUAGAACAAUGUUUAUUGUUGUGAGUGCCUUGUGUUUUCUUGUUCUUACUUUGUUGAAAUACACAGAGCAAGGAAGAGAAGCAUUUUAUUCACAACCAUUUGUCUUUUACGGUCAAGUAUCAUAGAGAUACACUUACUGAAUCUGCUAGAAUUGUGGGCUUUGAGGUUAAGCCUUUCAGGUCAGUAUUUUUGUGCUUGUUUUGUUUGGUUAAGUUAUUCCAUUUAGCAGUCGUGGUUUGUAUGCAAUAUUGAUUUUACGAAUGUUUCUGUGCAGUGUUAAACAUGAAUAUGAAGGGAAGUGGGAUGAACAGGCCACCCGUUUGACAACCUGUGACCCUCAUGCUAAACACACAGUUGUGAAUUCGAACACUCCUCAAGAGGUCGAAGAGAACAAGGAAAUUAUCUUCACUUAUGAUGUUGAAUUCCAGGUGAGGUUAUUUUGAUUUGAAUAGUACAUGUAUACUUUCUUUGGUACUCAAUGAUGAUGGGUAUUGGUGGAUUAAGGCAAAUAGUUCAAAAUAUUCUUUUAUGAAUUAUGUCCUAGUAGAUAUUGUUCAUCGCUCGUUAAUGGGCAGUUUGUCUAGUUUAAUAUAGCUUUUCUUUUUUCUUUUUUCUUCUCGUAGCUUAAUUUCUUCAUUUUUUCUUCUAACCAAGGGAAGUCAUCACUCCCUCUAUUCUCAUCUUUUGUCAUCUUCUUUGACCCGCUUUUACCUUUUUCCUGCAUUUAGGAGAGUGAUGUGAAGUGGGCUUCAAGAUGGGAUGCCUAUUUGCUGAUGAGUGAUGACCAAAUUCACUGGUUCUCAAUUGUGAAUUCAUUGAUGAUUGUUCUCUUUCUCUCGGGUAUGGUAGCAAUGAUAAUGCUUCGUACACUUUACCGUGAUAUUUCAAAGUACAAUGAAUUAGAAACCCAAGAAGAAGCACAGGAAGAGACUGGUUGGAAGCUUGUCCACGGUGAUGUUUUUAGGCCACCAAACAAUCCAGAUUUGCUAUGUGUUUAUGUUGGGACUGGUGUUCAGUUUUUUGGAAUGAUACUAGUAACGAUGAUGUUUGCUGUCCUGGGGUUCCUUUCUCCUUCAAACCGAGGUGGGCUAAUGACGGUCAUGCUCUUGCUUUGGGUUUUCAUGGGAAUUUUCGCUGGUUAUGCCUCGGCUCGCUUAUAUAAAAUGUUCAAAGGAGCAGAGUGGAAGAAAAUUGCCCUCAAAACUGCAAUCAUGUUCCCUGGAAUCGUUUCUGCCAUUUUCUUUGUGUUAAAUGCUCUGAUAUGGGGACAAAAAUCGUCUGGAGCAGUGCCAUUUGGAACAAUGUUUGCCCUGAUCUUUUUAUGGUUUGGGAUCUCGGUUCCACUUGUUUUUGUUGGUGCCUAUGUUGGGUUUAGGAAGCCUGCGACUGAAAGUCCUGUGAAGACAAACAAAAUCCCAAGGCAAAUCCCUGAGCAGGCAUGGUACAUGAAUCCGGUCUUCUCAAUUCUGAUCGGAGGAAUACUUCCAUUUGGAGCUGUUUUCAUUGAGCUUUUCUUCAUCCUCACUUCAAUAUGGUUGAAUCAGUUCUACUACAUCUUCGGCUUCCUCUUCUUGGUCUUUGUCAUCCUCAUUGUCACUUGUGCUGAAAUAACAAUUGUGCUCUGCUACUUCCAGUUGUGCAGUGAGGAUUACUUGUGGUGGUGGCGGUCUUACCUUACAUCUGGCUCAUCUGCUCUUUAUCUAUUUCUUUAUGCAACAUUCUACUUCUUCACCAAGCUUGAAAUCACAAAGUUGGUAUCUGGGUUAUUGUACUUCGGUUACAUGCUUAUAGCUUCCUAUGCCUUCUUUGUUGUAACUGGAUCCAUCGGAUUUUACGCAUGCUUUUGGUUCACAAGGCUCAUCUAUUCCUCGGUCAAGAUUGAUUAGUUAUAGCAAUCAGUGGGUUGGAUUAAUCUACUAUACUUCUUGAAGGACGAAGACCAUUUGUGUAAGGAUUUUCAAAUUCAAGUACUGAUGUCAUGUUCAGAAUCAGAUGUAACCUAUUCUAUACAGUUUUGAAUUGUGACAACACCGUUAUUCUUUUGUUUCAAUAUCUUUUACUUGCCAGAGUUGUCGAAGUGUAGAUUUUAAGGUGUACGCUGCAGUCUUAACUUGGCGUUUUCUGUGUUACUUUCGGAGAAUUACAAGUUGGCUCCUUGUCAUAUGAUUUUUUAUUAUUAGCGGUGUAAUAAAAAUGAUAUCCCAACAACGUAGUUCGGACUUAUGAGCCUCUGCUGAAUUGAACCACUUUUGUCUUGUUAUUACGCACACCUAUUUCUUUUACGCACACAUAUAUAUGUCCAUAUAUGAAUUGAUAUUUUUUUCACAUUUGAUAAAUGAUUGAAGGUUGCCUAUUUUAGAUGUUUGUUCUAUUCGAAAAUUUGGCAGGCAAUAGGUGCUACCAUUGUAUUCAUUGUCUGAUGGCACCACAAGUUAUAUACGUUUGAUGUCUUGCUUUCAUACUUCCCUUAGCAAGCAAUAUAAUAGGUCGGUCGUUCACAAGUACAGCAGGAUUGAAGAAAAGUUUAUGCAUUUCAAAGCAACUAUUUGAGUGUCACGGAAUUUGCUUAGCUUGCGUUCUACGCAUCAAAGGAGAAAAUAGAAAGUAAAUCAACUUCUAAACAACUCCAGUGUCAAAGUAGUUGCUUAAUGUUACCAAAAGAAAUGCUUAGGCAGCGAAUAAAGUACAAAGCAAGGUAAUAAAGUUCACCGUUAUCUUUAAUUAUACAUCAUCUGUUAAAUUCUCAGAAAAAGGUACAGGAUAAAAAAUGGAACUAACCUUUAAGAUUUGCCCAUGUUUUUUCAUUUUUAAGCUUCUAUACUUGAUAUAUUAAGUUUGCUCUGCAUUUAACUCAAUUGUUAAAAAUUAAUGGAUCUGAAAACCCAAAUCACGAAUCUCUGACAGCACUAACAAACGUGUUAGAACCAAAUGAAACAUAUCACGAAUUCAAUGUUAUAUUUGACAAUUUUAAAGAUAAAAAAAAUAAAAGUAUGUACUAAAUAUUUGAAUUUAAGACGGAAGCACGAACAAAAUUCUCUCUUACAGGUGCAAGAAAUUAAGAAUUUAUUAGUAAUAUAUGUAUGAAGUAGAAGGAGUGUGGUCCAUUCUACAUUCCCCGAUACAAAGAUAGUUGAUAUGAAAUGAAAAGUAUUUGUGAAAAGUGGUAGUGCAAAGAAAGAUGUAAACUAUUUGCGAGGGUGAGUAUCCUGAGGUUGUGCAACUCCAGCAGAAACCUUAGCCACAUCCCUAGCAUUAGCUUCGGGCUUCUUCUUUGCAUAUAAGAUAGUAUACCCAAUUGCAGCCGUAAUAGCCAAACCAGUUACAGCCAUUGUUGUGUAGCUGUAAGGAAGUGAUUUCCUCUGAUGAAGCACUUCAGUGGCACCAUGACCUGGGGGUCUCUUUGAGGCCUCUGCUUGUGCUUUUUCUCUAUCCAUUUUCCUCUUCCUAUCUUCCUCCACCACUACCUCUUCUCUAUAUAUCAUUACCUCUUCACCCAUCUAACACUCCAACUUUGAUGUCUCAAAAUAAACCUUAAAUGUUCUCAAGCCACGUAACACCCCAACUUUCAUGUCUUCCCAACACGUAGCCACUACGUGUCCUUGAAAUCGCCUCUGGAGUUCACCAGAUUUACCAUGCAUGCUGCUUCACGCACACAUCAUGCUACCACUUUUCAAUUCCCAAAUUAUUAUUUAUACACUCAAUUCUAAC
rnacentral:lncRNA from 1 species